AAGACAUAUCAAAACAAACUGUUUCUCACUCGGCAGUUUCAUUUUAGAAUGAGACACAGUCGAUCACGCUUCCCGGAACUGCUGAUAAUUACGGUGUUCGGAAUAGGAGGAGGAUUUUACGCAUUUCAGCCAGCUUUUCGGCAAUUACAGCAAGAACGUAGCGGAACAACCACCGAAACUGCAGCAGCCAGCACUUCCAAAGAAACGUAAAACCAAUUAUAUCCGUAAAAAUGUCUAUGGCGGCACUAUCUCGGAUGUUUCAAAUGAUAAAAGGAUCCCCGGUUGCGGUGGUCGGCGGAACAAUCCUAAUAACGGGAUCAGUUAUCUACACAUACCGAUCCAUCUAUCAUCCGUUUGCGAUGCGCAGAGAACGGGCCGAAUCUGAAGCGAUGGCGAAUUACAUUUUUCAAAUGGAGCAAUCCAAAGACCGUCGACAAUCGAUCGAUAAUAGAUGAGACGGAAGUUUCACUAGAAGGUCUUAUCAAAUACAUUGAUGGUACACCUAACGACCAUUGUUGUUAUACUGGUCGCACUUAAGUAGCAGGUGCAAUUCAAGUUAUUAAAGGGAAAAUAUUAUUCUGUCAUUACUUCACGAAUUUAACAUUUUUAAUACUCCGAAUAUUGUUAUGCGACUGUGGAUCCAGCGUAGAAUAGAAGGCCUAAAUAUGGAAGGGUUACGGAAGGUGUAACUGUUAUUUUAUAUGUCACAAAGCACACAAGACAAGGUGCACGAUUUUGCUAAAUAUUCACUACAUAAAAUGUGAAUUGCAGAUGAUAGUCAUCAUUUGAUUCAUUACCCAUUGGCGCCAAAAGACAUAUGAG